UCUUUUAUCAGUCUGAAUAAAAAGACAGUGGAGAAUAUUCCUGUAAAAUCAGCAACCCAAUCAACACUGAGGAAGCUACAUACACCGUGGUUGUUAACUAUGGACCAGAAAAUGUUCAAAUCACAGGUCCGAAUGAGAUCCAUAUUGAACAGACCUUAACAUUAACCUGCUCUGCUGAGUCCACACCAUCUGCUAGUUACACCUGGACACUGAAUGGGACUGAGAUACACAACUCUUCUGUGUUUGCUAAAGACAUCACUGAACUUUCUGACAGUGGCAACUACAUCUGCGAAGCAAUGAAUAAUGUAACUGGAAAAACAUCAUCAUCAGCGGUCCACCAGUUGUCUGUAACAGCUGUCAAAACUUCACCCUGUUCGGCUGGUUGCAUCGCUGGAUUAGUAAUCGCAUGUUUGGUCAUCUGUGGAGCAGGUUUUGGUGGAGGAUACUACAUAUAUAAAAAAAGAAUCAACAACAAACCUCAGGCACAUGAUACAAAACGAGAAGGACACUGAGAACACUUCAGAGGUAUAUGAGAACAUAUAAACUGUCUUUUAAGAUGAUCAGAAAAGAAGAGACACCAAUGUUGUUGUUUUGUUUUAGAAUUCAUACUGUUUCUUCUGUGUUUGGGUUAUGUUUCUUUUAGAUAAAUAAUUUACAACACAGCAAAACGUAACAGUAACAGAAUUACCAGUGUAUUUCAAAGUCUUGUUGACAGACACAUAAAUGUGCUUAAAGUUGAAUUAAGUGACUGUUUGGACACUUGUAGGCAGAAGAGCACCACAACAUAAUGACACAUAGCAGCCCUGAUAUAUUAUCACAUUAUUGUUUUUGAUAGCUAAUGUGUUGUUUUUUUAUAGCUAAUGUGUUAGCAAACAUUUGCCAUUUAUCCAUAUGUACAGUAUAACAGUAGCAUUUCCUCUGCUUUUCUGGCCACUUGUUGAAUUAAAUAUUCCUUCUCAUUUUAGCAGGUAGCAAAUGCAUUGGGUUUGUCAGAGUAAUCUGCCGUAAACAGUGUUUAUGAGAGUGAAAUGUCUUCAAACCCAAAACAAAGAGUGUAAAUACAGUAAAAAGCUCCAGUAAGCUGUAGUGCUGGGUGAUGAUUCACCCUGAGUCCUUUUACAUUUAAAACAUAAUAUAUUUAGUUGAAUAUUGUUAUGCUAGUUUUCCUUACACCAUUCCUGGUGUGUUGCGCAUUUCUACAGAGUAUUUCUAAUUUUUGCUUUUAUUUUGCUGUUCUUUAUUGUGUCCAGCCACAACUUUGUAAAUUAAUGGAAGAAUAUUGGGGUGGAAUAAGACAUUAUGCUAAUUAACAAUAUAUAUCAAUAUAUUUUGAAAACUGCAACACAAAAUGUUAAUUCUUUCUCUGUCAUGUGAACUUACAGCAACUGAAUAUGUAACAGUCUUUAAAUAUAACAGUCAAAGACUGGCAACUGCGGAAAUGACUUUGGAAGUAUAUUUUAAUAAAUAUGUAUAUAUCUUCUUACUGUUUACUUGAGUUGAUACAUUUGACUUCCUUACAAUAAAUACAAACAAUGAAGAAA